rnacentral:tRNA from 1 species
GGGGCUGUAGCUCAGUGGCAGAGUGCUUGCCUUGCAUGUGUGAGGCACUGGGUUCAAUCCUCAGCACCA